rnacentral:rRNA from 1 species
AGCGAACGCUGGCGGCAGGCCUAACACAUGCAAGUCGAACGAACCUUUCGGGGUUAGUGGCGGAUGGGUGUGUAACACGUGGGAACGUGCCUUUAGGUUCGGAAUAACUCAGGGAAACUUGUGCUAAUACCGAAUGUGCCCUUCGGGGGGAAGAUUAUUUGCCUUUAGAGCGGCCCGCGUCUGAUUAGCUAGUUGGUUGAGGUAAUGGCUCACCAAGGCGACGAUCAGUAGCUGGUCUGAGAGGAUGAUCAGCCACAUUGGGACUGAGACACGGCCCAAACUCCUACGGGAGGCAGCAGUGGGGAAUCUUGCGCAAUGGGCGAAAGCCUGACGCAGCCAUGCCGCGUGAAUGAUGAAGGUCUUAGGAUUGUAAAAUUCUUUCACCGGGGACGAUAAUGACGGUACCCGGAGAAGAAGCCCCGGCUAACUUCGUG